UCUGUCGGUCUGUCUGUCUGUCGGUAGUGGGAGUUAACACGAUACUUGGGAACACUGCGCCGACUCCUUAAGCAGUCAAGGCCUAAGUGAAACACGGGAUUCAUUGUCCGAAGCACCAACGACACGAGAUGGCAACCCAAACACACACACACACACACACACACACGUGGUAAUGGCUCUCCCGCCCACCUCAUCUCAGCAAAUGUUUGUUGGCAGUUUUCCACAUUAAUAGGCCGCAAUUUUCCUUAAGUAAAGUCGUCUUGGUCUCGUUCGGAGUAAAUUACCAUCAUCACAGUAGUUUGUAGUUUAUUUUUUCAUCCAACACUCUCAGACUUCCCCACACGUCAUAUUGGCAAUUCUCUCCUUCCCCCACCAUUCUCUCUCUCUCUCUCUCUCUCUGCCGUCAACCACAACGUGCACACCUUCCCUCCUCUCCUCACCUCAGACUCUGUUGACUGAUAACUAACGUGCUUAAUUUCCCAUUGGUUUGUACCGGAACUCCGCCAGUCCCUACGCACCACAGAUGACAACUCUGCUAACGCCUGUCAGCCUCCAGUGAUCCCUCGUUACAAACUUUUCUGGACCCUGACCGGAGGAGGCAAUGAGUGUUGUUCUGUCUGCCUGCCUGGCCGUGAAUAGGCUAGUGAGUUGCCCGCUAGGUAUCCUUACAGACCUCAGACCUUGCCGUAUUGCUCGAAAUUAAACCAAGUACUGCUAGUUAAUUCAGACGGGUCGCAAUUACUAUGGACUCGUGGAAGACCAAAGCUUUUCCGCUCGAAUCAAGGUCUUAACGAAGGCGAUGAAACACCUCCACCGAACCCAAGUGAAGGCGAGCAGACGGAGUGGCGGGCAGGAGUGGUGGGUCAGUGGCUUCUUACCUUGACCUCCGUGAACACAGUGGAGAGCCUGUGAGCUGCAAACACCACAACUUCACGGCGCCUUUGUCCCCCCUCGCCUGGCUGGUUGUCUUGCAUCUCUCCGACACUCCAAUUCGUGACUCAGCCUCCACUCGUCCGUGAAUCCCCGAUGCACCCUCACCACCACUACCUUUAUCAUCACCGCCCCUUCAAUAGAUUGGCUUCUGAGGGCAGCUCCAUUGUCCCUAACCCCUCUCUGUCCGGAUUACGUUGCGUCUAUUUUUGUUUGUAAUGAUUUAUUUCUAUGUGUUUGUUCUGUCAUUGUCUUCCUUCA